GAUGAACGCUGGCGGCGUGCCUAAUACAUGCAAGUCGAGCGAACAGACGAGGAGCUUGCUCCUCUGACGUUAGCGGCGGACGGGUGAGUAACACGUGGAUAACCUACCUAUAAGACUGGGAUAACUUCGGGAAACCGGAGCUAAUACCGGAUAAUAUAUUGAACCGCAUGGUUCAAUAGUGAAGGACGGUUUUGCUGUCACUUAUAGAUGGAUCCGCGCCGCAUUAGCUAGUUGGUAAGGUAACGGCUUACCAAGGCAACGAUGCGUAGCCGACCGGAGAGGGUGAUCGGCCACACUGGAACUGAGCCACGGUCCAGACUCCUACGGGAGGCAGCAGUAGGGAAUCUUCCGCAAUGGGCGAAAGCCUGACGGAGCAACGCCGCGUGAGUGAUGAAGGUCUUCGGAUCGUAAAACUCUGUUAUUAGGGAAGAACAAAUGUGUAAGUAACUAUGCACGUCUUGACGGUACCUAAUCAGAAAGCCACGGCUAACUACGUG
rnacentral:rRNA from 1 species